rnacentral:rRNA from 1 species
CCUGCCGCGCGCGGCGGGCGGGGCGGGGGCACGGGGGGAGAGUUUGAUCCUGGCUCAGAACGAACGCUGGCGGCAGGCCUUAUACAUGCAAGUCGAACGCGAACGCCCUACUUGUAGGGCUAUUAGAGUGGCGGACGGGUUAGUAACGCGUGGGAACAUACCUAUCACUGGGGAAUAACCAUUGGAAACGAUGGCUAAUACCGCAUACGCCCUACGGGGGAAAGAUUUAUUCGGUGAUGGAUUGGCCCGCGUUAGAUUAGCUUGUUGGUGGGGUAAUGGCCUACCAAGGCAACGAUCUAUAGCUGGUUUGAGAGGAUGAUCAGCAACACUGGAACUGAGACACUGUCCAGACUCCUACGGGAGGCAGCAGUAGGGAAUAUUGCACAAUGGGGGAAACCCUGAUGCAGCCAUGCCGCGUGAGUGAAGAAGGUCCUAGGAUUGUAAAGCUCUUCAGAUGUGAGGA